rnacentral:rRNA from 1 species
UGGGGAAUAUUGGACAAUGGGCGGAAGCCUGAUCCAGCCAUGCCGCGUGUGUGAAGAAGGCCUUUUGGUUGUAAAGCACUUUAAGCGAGGAGGAGGCUACUUGGAUUAAUACUCUAGGAUAGUGGACGUUACUCGCAGAAUAAGCACCGGCUAACUCUGUGCCAGCAGCCGCGGUAAUACAGAGGGUGCGAGCGUUAAUCGGAUUUACUGGGCGUAAAGCGUGCGUAGGCGGCUUCUUAAGUCGGAUGUGAAAUCCCUGAGCUUAACUUAGGAAUUGCAGUCGAUACUGGGAAGCUAGAGUAUGGGGGGGGAUGGUAGAAUUCCAGGUGUGGCGGUGAAAUGCGUAGAGAUCUGGAGGAAUACCGAUGGCGAAGGCAGCCAUCUGGCCUAAUACUGACGCUGAGGUACGAAAGCAUGGGGAGCAAACAGG